rnacentral:rRNA from 1 species
GAGUUUGAUCGUGGCUCAGGACGAACGCUGGCGGCGUGCCUAAUACAUGCAAGUCGAGCGGACCACAAAGAAGCUUGCUUCUGAGUGGUUAGCGGCGGACGGGUGAGUAACACGUGGGCAACCUGCCCUGCAGACUGGGAUAACUUCGGGAAACCGGAGCUAAUACCGGAUAACACUAAGAACCGCAUGGUUCUUGGUUGAAAGAUGGCUUCGGCUAUCACUGCAGGAUGGGCCCGCGGCGCAUUAGCUAGUUGGUGAGGUAACGGCUCACCAAGGCGACGAUGCGUAGCCGACCUGAGAGGGUGAUCGGCCACACUGGGACUGAGACACGGCCCAGACUCCUACGGGAGGCAGCAGUAGGGAAUCUUCCGCAAUGGACGAAAGUCUGACGGAGCGACGCCGCGUGAGCGAAGAAGGUCUUCGGAUCGUAAAGCUCUGUUGUUAGGGAAGAACAAGUACUGUUCGAAUAGGGCGGUACCUUGACGGUACCUAACGAGAAAGCCACGGCCAACUACGUGCC